UGCAAGUCGAACGGUGAAGCAGAGCUUGCUCUGUGGAUCAGUGGCGAACGGGUGAGUAACACGUGAGCAAUCUGCCCCUGACUCUGGGAUAAGCGCUGGAAACGGCGUCUAAUACCGGAUACGAGCUGCGAAGGCAUCUUCAGCAGCUGGAAAGAACUUCGGUCAGGGAUGAGCUCGCGGCCUAUCAGCUUGUUGGUGAGGUAACGGCUCACCAAGGCGUCGACGGGUAGCCGGCCUGAGAGGGUGACCGGCCACACUGGGACUGAGACACGGCCCAGACUCCUACGGGAGGCAGCAGUGGGGAAUAUUGCACAAUGGGCGAAAGCCUGAUGCAGCAACGCCGCGUGAGGGACGACGGCCUUCGGGUUGUAAACCUCUUUUAGCAGGAAAGAAGCGAAAGUGACGGUACCUGCAGAAAAAGCGCCGGCUAACUACGUGCCAGCAGCCGCGGUAAUACGUAGGGCGCAAGCGUUAUCCGGAAUUAUUGGGCGUAAAGAGCUCGUAGGCGGUCUGUCGCGUCUGCUGUGAAAACCCGAGGCUCAACCUCGGGCCUGCAGUGGGUACGGGCAGACUAGAGUGCGGUAGGGGAGAUUGGAAUUCCUGGUGUAGCGGUGGAAUGCGCAGAUAUCAGGAGGAACACCGAUGGCGAAGGCAGAUCUCUGGGCCGUAACUGACGCUGAGGAGCGAAAGGGUGGGGAGCAAACAGGCUUAGAUACCCUGGUAGUCCACCCCGUAAACGUUGGGAACUAGUUGUGGGGUCCAUUCCACGGAUUCCGUGACGCAGCUAACGCAUUAAGUUCCCCGCCUGGGGAGUACGGCCGCAAGGCUAAAACUCAAAG
rnacentral:rRNA from 1 species